UAUAUAUUUUUUUUCAAUGGCUGGUCAUAUGACUCAUAAUUUACUAGGAUAGCAUAUUAUGUAGUUAAUGGGUAACUGCCUGUGAAGUCCAGAAGGGUAUUUUUAUGGUCCUGACAUGAAAGACCACAGCACAAGUUUAUUUGUGAGGCAAUUAUGGGAAAGCUAUAAAGUGAACUCAAUUGACUGCUGUCCUGCCUAUUGACGUCAAAAGCAAAUCAUAGUUUGGUGUUUGGUGUAUUUAGAUUCUAAUAUGUGCAGUAGCAUUAAUCUCUGAAUCACAGAUUUAUUGUUAAUCCCUAUCAUUUGUUUUUGAUAGAGAAGCAGAUAUGGAAUGGUGAAACUCCUGCACUCCUCCAAGUGAUCUUUUUACCUGGAAAGGGAGAGAAUGUGUGUUCUGUCAGCAGCUAAGAGCACAGAUCUGGUUACUGAUCAAGACUGAAGCGAGGCUGAGAAAAUGCAGAACUGAGGCUUCCAGUUGCUAUUUCCCCCUGGAUUCUUGGAGCCAAACUGUCCUUUGACAGUAUAAACCACCAAGCCUGUCAGUUUCUGCUUAAAUUCUAGGUGAGCCAUG
rnacentral:lncRNA from 1 species